rnacentral:lncRNA from 1 species
UGGGUUGAAGGAUGAGCCAAUGGAGCACGCCCUGCUUCAUUGCCUAAGGACAUGUUUGAUUUAGGGGAUGGCAAGUGGUCAGGCUUGGGAGGCAAAUAGUGGCUCUUGGUUUUCCUCCUUGGAUGCGACCCAUCGAAGCAUGACCAUUGGUGCACCCUAGGGUGGUAGGAUGGCAUACAUUGCCUACUAAAUUUGGUUGUCCAGGAAUAGCCUAUCUUCGAAGCCGAGGU